AACUCAGGGAACUGAAACAUCUAAGUACCUGAAGGAAGAGAAAGAAAUUCGAUUCCGUAAGUAGCGGCGAGCGAACGCGGAUUAGCCCAAACCAAUAAAGUUUUCUUUAUUGGGGUUGCGGACAUAUCAUAACGAAGAGGUAUCGUAAUUGAAGAGGUUUGGAAAGACCCACCACAGAAGGUAAUAGUCCUGUAUGUUAAACGAGAAGACUUCAGAUAUGAUCCAGAGUACCACGGGACACGUGAAACCCUGUGGGAAGCAGGAGGGACCACCCUCCAAGGCUAAAUACUACCUAGUGACCGAUAGCGUAUAGUACCGUGAGGGAAAGGUGAAAAGAACC
rnacentral:rRNA from 1 species